AUUGAACGCUGGCGGCAGGCUUAACACAUGCAAGUCGAGCGGAGAUGAGGUGCUUGCACCUUCUCUUAGCGGCGGACGGGUGAGUAAUGCUUAGGAAUCUGCCAUUUAGUGGGGGACAACAUUCCGAAAGGAAUGCUAAUACCGCAUACGUCCUACGGGAGAAAGCAGGGGAUCUUCGGACCUUGCGCUAAAUGAUGAGCCUAAGUCGGAUUAGCUAGUUGGUGGGGUAAAGGCCUACCAAGGGGACGAUCUGUAGCGGGUCUGAGAGGAUGAUCCGCCACACUGGGACUGAGACACGGCCCAGACUCCUACGGGAGGCAGCAGUGGGGAAUAUUGGACAAUGGGGGGAACCAUGAUCCAGCAAUGCCGCGUGUGUGAAGAAGGCCUUAUGGUUGUAAAGCACUUUAAGCGAGGAGGAGGAUACUGAGACUAAUACUCUUGGAUAGUGGACGUUACUCGCAGAAUAAGCACCGGCUAACUCUGU
rnacentral:rRNA from 1 species